rnacentral:rRNA from 1 species
AGAAUCAACGCUGGCGGCGUGCCUAACACAUGCAAGUCGAACGAGAAAGUGGAGCAAUCCAUGAGUAAAGUGGCGACCGGGUGAGUAACACGUGACUAACCUACCCUACAGUGGGGGAUAACUCCGGGAAACCGGGGCUAAUACCGCAUAACAUCGUAAGAUCAAAGGAGCAAUUCGCUGAAGGAGGGGGUCGCGGCUGAUUAGUUAGUUGGUGAGGUAACGGCUCACCAAGACGAAGAUCAGUAGCCGGCCUGAGAGGGCGCACGGCCACACUGGAACUGAAACACGGUCCAGACUCCUACGGGAGGCAGCAGUGGGAAUUUUGCGCAAUGGGGGAAACCCUGACGCAGCAACGCCGCGUGGAGGAUGAAGUCCCUUGGGAUGUAAACUCCUUUCGAUCGGGACGAUUAUGACGGUACCGGAAGAAGAAGCACCGGCUAACUCUGUGCCAGCAGCCGC